GACGAACGCUGGCGGCGUGCUUAACACAUGCAAGUCGAACGGAAAGGCCCUGCUUUUGUGGGGUGCUCGAGUGGCGAACGGGUGAGUAACACGUGAGUAACCUGCCCAUGACUUUGGGAUAUCUUCAGGAAACUGGGGCUAAUACCGGAUAGGAGCUCCUGCUGCAUGGUGGGGGUUGGAAAGUUUCGGCGGUUGGGGAUGGACUCGCGGCUUAUCAGCUUGUUGGUGGGGUAGUGGCUUACCAAGGCUUUGACGGGUAGCCGGCCUGAGAGGGUGACCGGCCACAUUGGGACUGAGAUACGGCCCAGACUCCUACGGGAGGCAGCAGUGGGGAAUAUUGCACAAUGGGCGGAAGCCUGAUGCAGCAACGCCGCGUGCGGGAUGACGGCCUUCGGGUUGUAAACCGCUUUCGCCUGUGACGAAGCGUGAGUGACGGUAAUGGGUAAAGAAGCACCGGCUAACUACGUG
rnacentral:rRNA from 1 species